CAGCUGGCAGCAGGAAGUGGUUGCCAUUGACAGCCGGAAGGCAGUAACUGACAGCCGGAAGGCAGUAACUGUCAGCCGGAUGGUAGGCGGGACCUGCCAUUCGGUGGGAGCCAAUCAGUAUCGACCAACGUGGGCGCAACCAAUCAGAUAUAACUGCACCCAAACGCUUCAGUAAUGGUUGCGAUUGAUCAAACGUUGCCAGAUGCUGUCCUGUUGGAAAUUCUUCUUUACGUGAUCCUGGAGGAGGGGUGAUGCUACAUUACUAAGUCCGUCUUUGGUUUGUUCCAAAUUCAGAAGUCUGCUGUACUGUAUACAGACUCCUUUCGAAAGAGGGCGCAAUCCAGCUGGCUUGACUGAGUAUUUUCUUUUACAUAUUUGAUUAGAGGUUUAAAAAGGUGGAACAAAAUGGAGAACAAGUCUAAGCCAUGUCAGGAAUUCAACAAAAUGUACACCCUGCAGACACUGCGACGAGGUUUACAACAACUGCUUACCAGGUCACUGCAGUCACCCGGAUCCAGUACGUAUCCAGACCAGAUGGUGGAUCGCACCUAGAAAGGACCUCUACAGCCCUGAAAGACAGCGGAGACCAGGACAACUAGAGCCCAGAUACAGAUCCCCUGUAAAGACCUUGUUUUUUUCUCCAUUUUGUCACCGGUGGAGUUUUGGUUCCUUGUCGCCUCUGGCUUGCUUCGUUGUGGUCACUUCAUUUACAGUGAUAUCAUUGACAUGAUUCCACAGAUACUAUUUAAACUGAACCGAGCUCAAGGAUGACAUCACUGAACUGAAUGAUAAACUGCCUUUUAAACUGACUACAAACUGAGUUUACUAAUGUCCUUCUGCAUUUUUGACUGACACACUAUUUUCCUAUUUAAUACUGUAAAGUUGCUUUGCUUUGAGCUGUAUUAUUAA